rnacentral:rRNA from 1 species
GGGGAAUUUUCGCAAUGGGCGAAAGCCUGACGGAGCAAGACCGCGUGAGGGAAGAAGGCUCUUGGGUUGUAAACCUCUUUUCUCAGGGAAGAAGACAGUGACGGUACCUGAGGAAUCAGCCUCGGCUAACUCCGUGCCAGCAGCCGCGGUAAUACGGAGGAGGCAAGCGUUAUCCGGAAUUAUUGGGCGUAAAGCGUCCGUAGGUGGUUUUGUCAGUCGGCUGUCAAAGCACAGGGCUUAACCCUGUAAAGGCAGUGGAAACUACAAAACUGGAGUGCAGUAGGGGCAGAGGGAAUUCCCAGUGUAGCGGUGAAAUGCGUAGAGAUUGGGAAGAACACCCGUGGCGAAAGCGCUCUGCUGGACUGCAACUGACACUCAGGGACGAAAGCUAGGGGAGCAAAUGGGAUUAGAUACCCCAGU